GACGAACGCUGGCGGCGUGCUUAACACAUGCAAGUCGAACGGAAAGGCCUGCUUUCCCUUGUGGAUUGCGGGUGCUCGAGUGGCGAACGGGUGAGUAACACGUGAGUGAUCUGCCCCCAACUUGGGUAUAAGCCUGGGAAACUGGGUCUAAUUCCCGAUAGGACUGCAGGGUGGUGCCUGUGGUGGAAAACGAUUUUCUAGUGGUUGGGGAUGAGCUCGCGGCCUAUCAGCUUGUUGGUGGGGUAAUGGCCUACCAAGGCGGCGACGGGUAGCCGGCCUGAGAGGGUGGACGGCCACAUUGGGACUGGGAUACGGCCCAGACUCCUACGGGAGGCAGCAGUGGGGAAUAUUGCACGAUGGGCGGAAGCCUGAUGCAGCGACGCCGCGUGGGGGAUGACGGCCUUCGGGUUGUAAACUCCUUUCGACCGCGAGGAAGCCACCUGGUUGGAAGGGUGGUGACGGUAGUGGUAGAAGAAGCACCGGCUAACUACGUG
rnacentral:rRNA from 1 species